rnacentral:rRNA from 1 species
AACGAACGCUGGCGGCAUGCCUAACACAUGCAAGUCGAACGAUCCCUUCGGGGAUAGUGGCGCACGGGUGCGUAACGCGUGGGAACCUGCCCUUAGGUUCGGAAUAACUCAGAGAAAUGUGAGCUAAUACCGGAUAAUGUCUUCGGACCAAAGAUUUAUCGCCUUUGGAUGGGCCCGCGUUGGAUUAGCUUGUUGGUGGGGUAAAGGCCUACCAAGGCGACGAUCCAUAGCUGGUCUGAGAGGAUGAUCAGCCACACUGGGACUGAGACACGGCCCAGACUCCUACGGGAGGCAGCAGUGGGGAAUAUUGGACAAUGGGCGAAAGCAUGAUCCAGCAAUGCCGCGUGAGUGAUGAAGGCCUUAGGGUUGUAAAGCUCUUUUACCCGGGAUGAUAAUGACAGUACCGGGAGAAUAAGCCCCGGCUAACUCCGUG